UACGGAGGGUGCGAGCGUUGUCCGAAAUCAUUGGGCGUAAAGGGCGCGUAGGUGGCCCGCUCAGCGUGCGGUGAAAGCCUGGGGCUCAACCCCGGGUCGGCCGUGCGAACUGGUGGGCUGGAGCACUGUAGAGGCAGGCGGAAUUCCGGGUGUAGCGGUGGAAUGCGUAGAGAUCCGGAAGAACAUCGGUGGCGAAGGCGGCCUGCUGGGCUGUUGCUGACACUGAGGCGCGACAGCGUGGGGAGCAAACAGG
rnacentral:rRNA from 1 species